rnacentral:rRNA from 1 species
GACGAACGCUGGCGGCGUGCUUAACACAUGCAAGUCGAGCGGUAAGGCCCUUUCGGGGGUACACGAGCGGCGAACGGGUGAGUAACACGUGGGUGACCUGCCCUCAGCUCUGGGAUAAGCCUGGGAAACCGGGUCUAAUACUGGAUAUGACUCCAUGACGCAUGUUGUGGGGUGGAAAGCCUUGUGCGGCUGAGGAUGGGCCCGCGGCCUAUCAGCUUGUUGGUGGGGUGAUGGCCUACCAAGGCGACGACGGGUAGCCGGCCUGAGAGGGCGACCGGCCACACUGGGACUGAGACACGGCCCAGACUCCUACGGGAGGCAGCAGUGGGGAAUCUUGCGCAAUGGGCGAAAGCCUGACGCAGCGACGCCGCGUGAGGGAUGACGGCCUCGGUGUAACUACUUCGUCUCCGUACGAGACGAGAGUGACGGUAGGAGCGAGAAGAAGACGACCGGCCGAA